UACGUAGGUGGCGAGCGUUGUCCGGAUUUAUUGGGUUUAAAGGGUGCGUAGGCGGUCCUAUAAGUCAGUGGUGAAAUAUCGCAGCUCAACUGUGAGGGUGCCAUUGAUACUGUAGGACUUGAGUGAAUUUGAGGUAGGCGGAAUUGACGGUGUAGCGGUGAAAUGCUUAGAUAUCGUCAAGAAACACCGAUAAGUGAAGACAGCUUACCAAGCUUCAACUGACGGCUGAGGCACGAAAGUGU
rnacentral:rRNA from 1 species